CAAUAGCGUAUAUUAAUGUUGUUGCAGUUAAAAAGCUCGUAGUUGGAUUUCGAAUGGGAGCGGUGGGUCGGGUCCGCAAGGGCUCGUUACCUGUUUCGUCUCCGGUUCUUUUUCGGGAUUUGUUUCUGGCGUGGCUGGCAUUGAGUUGUCGGUGGCGUCGGGCCCGUCGUUUACUGUGAACAAAUUAGAGUGUUCAAAGCAAGGUGUGUCUUGAAUACAUUAGCAUGGAAUAAUGAGAUAGGACUUUGGUGGUUUCGGUGAAAGCCGGAUAUUUUGUUGGUUUGCACGCCGAAGUAAUGAUUAAUAGGAGCAGUUGGGGGUAUUCGUAUUCAAUUGUCAGAGGUGAAAUUCUUGGAUUUCUAGAAGACGAACUACUGCGAAAGCAUUUACCAGGGAUGUUUUCAUUAA
rnacentral:rRNA from 1 species